UACAGAGGUCUCAAGCGUUGUUCGGAUUCAUUGGGCGUAAAGGGUGCGUAGGCGGCGCGGUAAGUCGGGUGUGAAAUCUUGGAGCUUAACUCCGAAACUGCAUUCGAUACUGCCGUGCUUGAGGACUGGAGAGGAGACUGGAAUUUACGGUGUAGCGGUGAAAUGCGUAGAUAUCAGGAGGAACACCGGUGGCGAAGGCGGGUCUCUGGGCAACAACUGACGCUGAGGAGCGAAAGCGUGGGGAGCGAACAGG
rnacentral:rRNA from 1 species